AGUGAUUUCUCAAAUUAAGGUCCCACACUCAAAGUUGUUCCUCGAAACCAAUUUCUUAAGCUUGAGGAAAGAAUAAGGAAGAAGUUCCAUGAAGAAAUCGAGCCUUGAAAACCCUUAGAAUCGGCUACCCAAUAAGAAAUCAUUUGUUUUUACUCCAGCGAGAAAUUAUAUUUUGGACGAACUUUGGAAGCGAAUAUCUAAGGCUACGAUCCACGAAAAGAAACUAGACACAAUAAGAAGUCUGUGGAAGAAAAUUGAAGGUAAUUCAGGUAUCGGAAGAUCAUGAACAGAGGUCCCGAACGUCGACAACGCGCAAGGAAUAAGAGAAGAAACAAACCUUCCAUUGUAGGAAGGAAUAAGAGAAGAAAAGAAUGGCGGGACAAAGCUUGAGAAAUCUCAAAAUUGUGGUGUUCAUCUUCCUAGCCCUUACUUCUGGAUGGAUGGUGGUGCAGACAGAGGGGCGGACAUGCUAUAAGCACAGCGAUGCAUUUAUAGGACCGUGCAUUGCAGCAACAUGUGCUGAACUUUGCAUUUCUUUUGAGAAGUGGGAUGACGGAUUUUGCUCGGGUGAUAAAUGCACUUGUACGAAGCAAUGUGCUGAGUCCAUGCUUUAAUGGGUUUGUAAUUCACCACAGUUGUUGCUAUCUGAAUGUAAUAAACGACUCCAAUUCUACUGAAUUGCACAACAUGUUUACUAAUCAAAGCUUCCUUCUUCCAUUUUAUACUUUUUAUCUCAA